rnacentral:rRNA from 1 species
UACGUAGGGGGCAAGCGUUGUCCGGAUUUAUUGGGCGUAAAGAGCUCGUAGGCGGUUCCGUAAGUCGUGAAGUCAAAUCUCUGGGCUCAACCCAGAAUCGCUUCCGAUACUGCGGUGACUGGAGUCCGGUAGGGGAGUGUGGAAUUCCUGGUGUAGCGGUGAAAUGCGCAGAUAUCUGGAGGAACACCGGUGGCGAAGGCGGCAUCCUGGACCAACACUGACGCUGAGUGAGCGAAAGCCAGGGGAGCAAACGGG